rnacentral:rRNA from 1 species
AACGCGAAGAACCUUACCUACCCUUGACAUCCUUCGAAUCUCACAGAGAUGUGGGAGUGCCGAAAGGAGCGAAGAGACAGGUGCUGCAUGGCUGUCGUCAGCUCGUGUCGUGAGAUGUUGGGUUAAGUCCCGUAACGAGCGCAACCCUUGUCCUUAGUUGCCAUCAUUAAGUUGGGAACUCUAAGGAGACUGCCGGUGAUAAACCGGAGGAAGGUGGGGAUGAGGUCAAGUCAUCAUGGCCUUUAUGGGUAGGGCUACACACGUGCUACAAUGGUCGGUACAAAGGGAAGCGAAGCUGUGAGGUGGAGCGAAACUCAAAAAACCGAUCUUAGUCCGGAUUGGAGUCUGCAACUCGACUCCAUGAAGCUGGAAUCGCUAGUAAUCGCGGAUCAGAACGCCGCGGUGAAUACGUUCCCGGGCCUUGUACACACCGACAUA